GACUGUGCUCUUCCCACCUCCCGGUGCCACUCCCGUAUCUCUGGAGCGGGCAGAGAGUGUAGUGGCGCCCGGCUGGGGAGUAGGGCAGAGCCGCGGAGGAGAACGCCCGCCGCAGGGGCCCAGCCUAAGCUGAGCAACGGGGACCAGAUUCCUCCUCCACUGCCACCUCCUCCC